rnacentral:lncRNA from 1 species
UUCAUUGGUUGUUCCUCACAAAAGUUUUCUAAAUUACUCAAGCUUUUAUAUAUGGGUAAUGGAUGACUACGGGAAAUAGGUAUCUUGGACUAGGUGGUCCAUCACCCAUAUAUAAAAGCUUGAGUUUAGAAAACUUGUGUGAGGAACACCUAGUGAAAGUGAGUCAUUUAAUGUAUCGAUAAUAACUGGCUCUUCAAGAGAAAUUUUAAAAGGAUCUGGCCAUGACAAAAAUUUGAAUUGUUCAUCUUCAAUGUCAAAUGACAUUACUGCUUUGGAAAGUCUAUCUUCAAUACCUGCAGAAUCAGUAACCCAAUGAAAUGCCUAUUGUAAAGGUCAGAUGAAAUAAGGAGCAGAGAUACCAAAGAAUAUCACUGGAUCAUUGAAAUGAGGGGCACUUGAUCAGGCUCAUGACAUGGAAGAGUUGUCACAUCAUGUGCACUACGACAAUUAGGAUAUUGGACAAAUGAUCUUCCUAUAAUGACAACAUAUGAGAGCGAUUUUUUUUUGAUGACCCUACUAAGAACGAAAGAACACUCCAGUUUUUUGUAUUUCUGCACACAAUGUGAAGCAGCGGAUUUGUGGAAUAUCCUAAUUGUCGUAGUGUGUAACAAUUCUUUAAUACCUUGAGCCUGAUCAAGUUCCCCUCAUUUCAAUAAUUUAGUGAUACACUUUCGUGUCACUGCUCCUUAUUUUAUCUGGCCUUUAACAUAGGCAUUUCAUUGGGUUACUGAUUCUGCAGAUAUUGAAGAUCGACUUUCCAAAGCAAUAGUUUCCUUUGACAUUGAAGAUGAACAAUUCAAAUUUUUUACAUGGAUGGACCCUCAUAAAAUUCCUCUUGAAAAGCGAGUGAUUAUCGAUACAUUAAAUGACUCACUUUCACUGGUUGUUCCUCACAAAAGUUUUCUAAACUUAAGCUUUUAUAUAUGGGUGAUGGAUGACUAGGUGAAAUAGGUAUCUCUUUUGGACUAGGCGAUACAUCACCCGUCUAUAAAAGCUUGAGUUUAGAAAACUUGUGUAAGGAACAAUCACUGAAAGUGAGUCAUUUAAUGGAUCGAUAAUAACUGGCUCUUGAAGAGGAAUUUUAAAAGGAUCUAGCUAUUAAAAAAAAUUGAAUUGUUCAUCUUCAAUGUCAAAUGACACUACUGCUUUGGAAAGUCUAUCUUCAAUACCUGCAGAAUCAAUAACCCAAUGAAAUGCCUAUUUUAAAGGUCAGAUGAAAUAAGGAGCAGAGAUACCAAAGAGUAUCACUGGAUCAUCGAAAUGAGGGGCACUUGAUCAGGCUCAUGACAUGGAAGAGUUGUCACAUCAUGUGCACUAGCUACGACAAUUAGGAUAUUGGACAAAUGAUCUUCCUAAAAUGACAACAUAUGAGAGCGAUUUUUUUUUCCGAUGAUCCUAAAAUCCAAGAACGAAAGAACACUCCAGUUUUUUGUAACUUCAGUUAUGUUCAGUUAUGUUUCAUUAUGUUCUAUCCUGAGGAAAAUAAUAUCGUUAUCAUUGGCAGGGAGGAUGGCUCUAUACUAAUCUAUGGUGUUCAGAAAGAUAUGGUCUGUAUCUAUAUAUACUGAUAUCUAAGUGUUGUGCAUUAAAAAUGAAAUAUCAUAAUAUAGCUAUUAAGUUCUUAUUAUCUAUUUAGCUUAUAUAGAAGAUAUCAGAUGCAUCGGCACAUUUCUGUCAAGUGUCACCAGGACCAAAGACAUUUGUUAGUUGUACAUGAAAGUUGUAUAGCCACUCUUGAAGGACCUAAUCUCGAGACCUGCAAGCAGGUAUCUGUUAAUUAUUUGCAGUGUUAACAAUUAAUUUAUAUGCUUUGUUGAAUAUCACAACAUGCUUCACCCACGCUUUAUUAGACCUUAUUUGAAAGAGGUCGGGGUGAUGGUUUUGGGUGCAACUAUAAUGUGUAUUAAUGAUCAAGCACAUAACAAAUAUAUAUUAAUUGUGUGUGUACAUAUAUACCUACAUGAAAACAAUCAUAUUCAACAGAACAUGACACUGAUUUUUCUAAAAUUGCCCCUGGUGCAAUAUCAUGUCGCUCUGCUAUAUAUUGAGAGUAACAUCUAAGUUCUUAAUGACAGAAGAAAUUCUCAAGCUCUUUAAAUAUUUCUCAGUAGAUUCCCGGGGAAUUGAUCGGUGAUGCUGCAUAUAUAUUCAUGUGAUGGCCAGUCCAUAUAUGCCUGCUUUCUUAACAGGCACAUUGUUUUCUUGGACUCGGCAUCUUUGACCAUAAAGUUUUUUAUCAAUCCGAGUGCAUAUUUACCUUGUAAUUAAAGGUAGGUGUUAUGUUUAAUUAAAAUGUAUCCUGAAAAUAUGAGCUUAUUAGCGAUAACACGCUCUUGACUGGAAGCUGCCUUCUGUAUUAUAUCUACAGCCCGGUGAUGUACGCUUCUACUCUUGAGGCUAAUCCUACAAAACACAAUCAGUUUGCUCUCGGGCUUAGUACUGAUGGUGGCGUACUAGUUAUAGAACUUGAGGAAGAGGAUAUUGGGGUUGGCAUUGUAGCACGCCUUAGCUUGAGACCAGCAACAACUGAGAACUUGAUAUGAGCUUUUGUGAUAAUCAGAGCCCAGUAUCUCUUGAAAUCUAUGUGUUUUAAAACAUACAUCUAGGGAUUGGAUUAGUGCAAGUUUUUUUUUUGCUGGACUAUGUUAAGUGGUAAAUGUUCGAUGCAAAUAUAGACGUAGUGAAAAAGUUUAAAUGAGAAUUGUCAACAAAGUAUGAAAAUAAGAAAAGAAAGCCAAUAUUUUGACAUAAACAAUGUUUCACUUAUACCCCCUGUAAUUUUCAAUGCAAAUACAUAUGUAGCUGCCCAAUUUCAAAAGGGAAUUAUCAAAACAAAUAUGCAAAUAUACAUGCUUGACUAUGUUAAUUGAUAAAUUUUUAAUUGAAAUAUACAUGUAGAAGCAGAAUUUGAAAUGAGAACGGUCAACAUAGUAUGAAAUAUGAAAAUAAUAAAAGAAACUUAAUGU